rnacentral:rRNA from 1 species
UGGGGAAUAUUGCGCAAUGGGGGAAACCCUGACGCAGCAACGCCGCGUGAAUGAAGAAGGCUUUCGGGUCGUAAAAUUCUGUCCUUAGGGAAGAAGAAAGUGACGGUACCUAAGGAGGAAGCCCCGGCUAACUACGUGCCAGCAGCCGCGGUAAUACGUAGGGGGCGAGCGUUGUCCGGAAUCACUGGGCGUAAAGGGCGCGUAGGCGGUAUAUUAAGUCAGGUGUGAAAGUUUUCGGCCCAACCGGAAAAGUGCACUUGAAACUAAUAAACUUGAGUACUGGAGAGGUAAGCGGAAUUCCUAGUGUAGCGGUGAAAUGCGUAGAUAUUAGGAGGAACACCGGUGGCGAAGGCGGCUUACUGGACAGAGACUGACGCUGAGGCGCGAAAGCGAGGGGAGCAAACAG